CAUCAACGUCAGCCUUGGGCAAGUUCACAUCAGGCAUGGAGAUCUUGGGGGCCUUGAAGUGCAUCUCAGGCAUCUUAAGCUUGGGGCCCUUCAGCUUCCCUUCUGGACCUUCAAGGCUCACAUCUGGGACUUCAACAUCCACCUUGGGUCCUGAGACAACAACAUCAGCCUUGGGCAAGUUCACAUCCACUUCUGGGCCCUCUGCUUUGAAGCCAGGCAUGCUGAACUUGGGCAUUUUCAUCUUGGGCAUCUUCAGGUGCCAGUCUGGGCCUUGAACCUCCACAUCUGGGGCAUCAAUGUCCAUUUUGGGUCCUUUGAUUUCAACAUCUGGCACUUUCAUUUCACCUUCUACCUUG
rnacentral:lncRNA from 1 species